rnacentral:rRNA from 1 species
GAGUUUGAUCCUGGCUCAGAGCGAACGUUGGCAGUGUGUCUUAAGCAUGCAAGUCGAACGGCAGCAGGCCAUGUAGCAAUAUAUGGUGCUGGCGAGUGGCGAACUGGUGAGUAACACGUAAGAAUCUGCCCUAAGGUGGGGGAUAACUCAUGGAAACAUGAGCUAAUACCGCAUAAUGCGAAGCUUAUAGAGAUAUAAGUUUUGUUAAAGGAGAAAUCCGCCAUAGGAUGAGCUUGCGUCCCAUUAGCUAGUUGGCGGGGUAAAUGCCCACCAAGGCUAUGAUGGGUAGCUGGCCUGAGAGGGUGGUCAGCCACACUGGGACUGAGAUACGGCCCAGACUCCUACGGGAGGCAGCAGCUAAGAAUCUUCCUCAAUGGGGGAAACCCUGAAGGAGCGACACUGCGUGCAGGAUGAAGGCCCUUUGGGUUGUAAACUGCUUUUGCAGGGGAGAAAUAACCGAAUGGGAUGAUAGUACUCUGCGAAUAAGUCCCGGCUAACUACGUGCCAGCAGCCGCGGUAAUACGUAAGGGGCGAACGUUGCUCGGAAUCACUGGGCGUAAAGGGCCGGUAGGUGGCUUUAUAAGUCGGUUGUCAAAUACCUAUGCUCAACGUGGGAGAGGCGACCGAUACUGUAGAGCUUGAGUAGAGGAUGGGAUGAUGGAAUACCCGGUGUANGGGUGAAAUCUGUUGAUAUCGGGUAGAACACCGAUGGCGAAAGCGAUCAUCUAGCCUCAUACUGACACUCAACGGCGAAAGCCAGGGGAGCGAACGGGAUUAGAUACCCCGGUAGUCCUGGCCAUAAACGAUGCAUGCUAGGUAUUGGCACCGCGUUGGUGCUGG